rnacentral:sRNA from 1 species
GCCGGGCAUGGUGGCGUAUGCCUGUAAUCCCAGCUACUUGGGAGGCUGAGGCAGGAGAAUUGCUUGAACUCCAGAGGCGGAGGUUGCAGUGAGCUGAGAUCCUGCCAUUGCACUCCAGUCUGGGUGACAAGAGUGAAACUCCAUCUCCAAAAAUAAUAAUAAUAAAGUAAAUUUUUUAAUUAAAAAAAAAAAUUUUUUUAAUAUAUAUAUAUAUAUAUUUUUUUUUUUGAGACAGAGUCUCACUCUGUCAUCCAGGCUGGAGUGCAGUGGCAUCAUCUCAGCUCGCUGCAACCUCUGCCUCCCAGGUUCAAGCAAUUCUCUGCCUCAG